rnacentral:rRNA from 1 species
UGGAUUGGGUGGGCUGCUGAGCGGUUCCUGGAAAUAGCCCCACAUCAGACCGUACCCUAAACCGACACAGGUGGACUGGUAGAGUAUACCAAGGCGCUUGAGAGAACCACGUUAAAGGAACUCGGCAAAAUGCCUCCGUAAGUUCGCGAGAAGGAGGCCCCGUCUGUAGGCAACUAUGGGCGGGGGGCACAAACUAGGGGGUGGCGACUGCUUACUUAAAACACAGGGCUGUGCGAAGCCGUAAGGCGACGUAUACAGUCUGACGCCUGCCCGGUGCUGGAAGAUUAAGAGGAGGGGUGCAAGCUCUGAAUUGAAGUCCCAGUAAACGGCGGCCGUAACAAUAACGGUCCUAAGGUAGCGAAAUUCCUUGUCGGGUAAGUUCCGACCUGCACGAAUGGCGUAACGAUCUCCCCGCUGUCUCUAACGUGGACUCAGCGAAAUUGAACUGUGUGUCAAGAUGCACACUACCCGCGGUUAGACGGAAAGACCCCAUGAACCUUUACUCCAGCUUUGCACUGGUAUCAGGAUUGCGAUGUGCAGGAUAGGUGGUAGGCAUUGAAUCGGGGGCGCCAGUCUUCGUGGAGCCUCCCUUGAGAUACCACCCUUCGCCAUCUUGAUAUCUAACCGCGGCCCGUUAUCCGGGUCCGGGACCCUGCAUGGUGGGGAGUUUGACUGGGGCGGUCGCCUCCCAAACAGUAACGGAGGCGCGCGAUGGUUGGCUCAGACCGGUCGGAAAUCGGUCGUUGAGUGCAAUGGCAGAAGCCAGCCUGACUGCAAGACUGACAAGUCGAGCAGAGACGAAAGUCGGUCAUAGUGAUCCGGUGGUCCCAAGUGGGAGGGCCAUCGCUCAACGGAUAAAAGGUACUCUGGGGAUAACAGGCUGAUGAUGCCCAAGAGUCCAUAUCGACAGCAUCGUUUGGCACCUCGAUGUCGGCUCAUCUCAUCCUGGGGCUGGAGCAGGUCCCAAGGGUAUGGCUGUUCGCCAUUUAAAGAGGUACGUGAGCUGGGUUUAGAACGUCGUGAGACAGUUCGGUCCCUAUCUGCCGUGGGUGCAGGAGACUUGAGAAGAGUUGACCCUAGUACGAGAGGACCGGGUUGAACGAACCACUGGUGGACCAGUUAUCGUGCUAACGGUAGUACUGGGUAGCUAUGUUCGGACAGGAUAACCGCUGAAGGCAUCUAAGCGGGAAGCCCCCUUCAAAACAAGGUCUCCCUUGAGGGCCGUGGAAGACGACCACGUCGAUAGGCCAGAGGUGUAAGUGCAGCAAUGCAUUCAGCUGACUGGUACUAAUUGCUC